GUACUGCUGAGGAGUCCCAUAAUGGGACGAAACUGCCCGUCCAGUGC
rnacentral:hammerhead_ribozyme from 1 species